rnacentral:rRNA from 1 species
UACGAAGGGGGCUAGCGUUGCUCGGAAUCACUGGGCGUAAAGCGCACGUAGGCGGCUUUCUAAGUCAGGGGUGAAAUCCUGGAGCUCAACUCCAGAACUGCCUUUGAUACUGGAAAGCUUGAGUUCGGGAGAGGUGAGUGGAACUGCGAGUGUAGAGGUGAAAUUCGUAGAUAUUCGCAAGAACACCAGUGGCGAAGGCGGCUCACUGGCCCGAUACUGACGCUGAGACACGAAAGCGUGGGGAGCAAACAGG